rnacentral:rRNA from 1 species
GACGAACGCUGGCGGCGUGCUUAACACAUGCAAGUCGAACGAAGAGCGAUGGAAGCUUGCUUCUAUCAAUCUUAGUGGCGAACGGGUGAGUAACGCGUAAUCAACCUGCCCUUCAGAGGGGGACAACAGUUGGAAACGACUGCUAAUACCGCAUACGAUCCAAUCUCGGCAUCGGGACUGGAUGAAAGGUGGCCUCUAUUUAUAAGCUAUCACUGAAGGAGGGGAUUGCGUCUGAUUAGCUAGUUGGAGGGGUAACGGCCCACCAAGGCGAUGAUCAGUAGCCGGUCUGAGAGGAUGAACGGCCACAUUGGGACUGAGACACGGCCCAGACUCCUACGGGAGGCAGCAGUGGGGAAUCUUCCGCGAUGGACGAAAGUCUGACGGAGCAACGCCGCGUGAGUGAUGACGGCCUUCGGGUUGUAAAGCUCUGUUAAUCGGGACGAAUGGUUCUUGUGCGAAUAGUGCGAGGAUUUGACGGUACCGGAAUAGAAAGCCACGGCUAACUACGUG